GAUGAAGAACGUAGCGAAAUGCGAUACGUAAUGUGAAUUGCAGAAUUCAGUGAAUCAUCGAAUCUUUGAACGCAUAUUGCGCUCUCUGGUAUUCCGGAGAGCAUGCUUGUUUGAGUAUCAGUAAACACCUCAACUUCCAUAUCUUUUUUGAAAUGGGAGUUGGACUUGAGUGAUCCCAACGCUUUUCCUCACCGAAAAGUGGCGGGUUACUUGAAAUGCAGGUGCAGCUGGACUUUUCUCUGAGCUAUAAGCAUAUCUAUUUAGUCUGCCUAAAAAACAGAUUAUUACCUUUGCUGCAGCUAACAUAAAGGAGAUUAGUUCUUGUGCUGACUGAUGCAGGAUUCACAAAGACGGCUUCGGCCGACUUUGUAAACUCGAUCUCAAAUCAAGUAAGACUACCCGCUGAACUUAAGCAUAUCAAUAAGCGGGGA
rnacentral:misc_RNA from 1 species